rnacentral:misc_RNA from 1 species
AUUUUAAAUUCAAUUCAAUCAUAAUCAGACAAACAAAACAAGCGUGAAUGUGUUAGAUGCUGAUGAUGAUAUGAUUGGCGAUGAUGUCACCACAACCAACCAUCAACACCCACUCUCAAUUCGCAAUGAUCCUUCCGCAGGUUCACCUACGGAAA